UACGUAGGGGGCAAGCGUUGUCCGGAUUUAUUGGGCGUAAAGAGCGUGUAGGCGGUUCGGUAGGUCCGUUGUGAAAACUCGAGGCUCAACCUCGAGACGCCGAUGGAAACCCUCGAACUAGAGUCCGGAAGAGGAGAAUGGAAUUCCUGGUGUAGCGGUGAAAUGCGCAGAUAUCAGGAAGAACGCCCGUGGCUAAGGCGGUUCUCUAGUACGGUACUGACGCUGAGACGCGAAAGCGUGGGGAGCGAACAGG
rnacentral:rRNA from 1 species